rnacentral:sRNA from 1 species
AGCAAAAAAGCUUUGGCUACUGAAGCUUUGAUAAUUUUUAUUUGUAAGAAUUAUUAAGUUAUUGUUAGAAAAGAAGAAGAAGAGGAAGAUUUGUGUGUAUUAUUACAAUGAAUGAGAGGUCCUUUAUAUAGGAGUACAAGGUUAGGGUUUCACAAAGCAUCUACAGGAUAAUUCCAGAAUAUUCUAUUCUAGAAGGAUCUAGAAGAUGGGCCUUAUAAUGGGCAUCCAUCUAAUAUUCAUAACACUCCCCCUGAUGACCAUUAUAGUAUCAUAACUCGUAAAGUAUUUGAAAUGUUGCCUCAUUAAAAACUUUACCAGGAAAACCCAAUGGGAAAAACCAUGGUUAAGGGAAAAAGAGUGCAACAUACAAUUACUCGCCCUUAUGAGUAUAUUCGUCGAGAUCUUUGAGACGGCGUAAUCCGAUACGAUAGACUAACUUCUUGAAAGUAGCAAUAGGUAGCGCCUUGGUGAAUAAGUCAGCCAGAUUAUCAUUCGAACGGAUCUGUAGAACUCGUACAUCGCCGCUCUUUUGUAGAUCGUGUGUGUAGAAGAAUUUUGGUAGGAUGUGCUUUGUUCUAUCGCCUUUGAUGUAUCCGUCUUUGAGUUGUGCGAUGCAUGCUGCAUUGUCUUCAUACAUAAUUGUUGGAGUCUUUUUCCCUGCAUACAUACCACAAUCUUCUUGUAUAUGGUGAACUACGGAUCUUAGCCAUACACACUCGCGGCUAGCUUCAUGAAUUGCUAAAAUCUCUGCAUGAUUGGAAGAUGUGGCUGCAAUA